rnacentral:misc_RNA from 1 species
GAUGAAGAACGUAGCGAAAUGCGAUAAGUAGUGUGAAUUGCAGACUUUAGUGAAUCAUCGAAUCUUUGAACGCACAUUGCGCCCCUUGGUAUUCCAUUGGGCAUGCCUGUUCGAGCGUCAUUGCUGCCCUCAAGCACGGCUUGUGUGUUGGGCCUCCGUCCUCCUCCCGGGGGACGGGCCCGAAAGGCAGCGGCGGCACCGCGUCCGGUCCUCGAGCGUAUGGGGCUUCGUCACCCGCUCUUGUAGGCCCGGCCGGCGCUUGCCGACACAUCAAUCUUUUUUCCAGGUUGACCUCGGAUCAGGUAGGGAUACCCGCUGAACUUAAGCAUAUCAAUAAGCGGAGGA